rnacentral:rRNA from 1 species
GACGAACGCUGGCGGCGUGCCUAAUACAUGCAAGUUGGGCGCUGAAGGUUGGUACUUGUACCAACUGGAUGAGCAGCGAACGGGUGAGUAACGCGUGGGGAAUCUGCCUUUGAGCGGGGGACAACAUUUGGAAACGAAUGCUAAUACCGCAUAAAAACUUUAAACACAAGUUUUAAGUUUGAAAGAUGCAAUUGCAUCACUCAAAGAUGAUCCCGCGUUGUAUUAGCUAGUUGGUGAGGUAGAGGCUCACCAAGGCGAUGAUACAUAGCCGACCUGAGAGGGUGAUCGGCCACAUUGGGACUGAGACACGGCCCAAACUCCUACGGGAGGCAGCAGUAGGGAAUCUUCGGCAAUGGACGAAAGUCUGACCGAGCAACGCCGCGUGAGUGAAGAAGGGUUUCGGAUCGUAAAACUCUGUUGGUAGAGAAGAACGUUGGUGAGAGUGGAAAGCUCAUCAAGUGACGGUAACUACACAGAAAGGGACGGCUAACUACGUG